ACGUGCCAAGCAUGUGAUUCGCCCUAUUUUUUUUAGGCCUCUUCUAACCCUAAAUCACGCUCAAGUUUUGAGGCGCCGCUUUUCAUCUUCUCCUCUUCCUUUCAACUGAUUUCUAACCUCUCAUUCCUUCUUCCUCUUCCUCUCUAAAUCGCCGUCAUCUCUUAUCUUUCUUUCCUUCUCAUUCUUUGAUAUUCCUUUCCCCCCUUCAUUCCUUUUUUGCCUGAUUAAUCACUCUCAAAUCUCGGCCGACUCGCUCCAUGUCCAUCCAGCACCACCAGCAGGGCAGCCGCUCCUCCUGCCGCAAAACCAGUCCUCCAUAGUGAUCUCUUUUUCUUUGGAAUCCUCCGCCGUACUCCAAAUCCAAGCUAUUUUCCUACAGCACUUUGAUUGCAGAUCUAUAUACUCUACUCGCUCCUUUUUCUCUGUCUGAUGCCAACUGGUAAUAUUGCUAUCUUUUUUUUUUAAUUAAUCGAUGUUUUUACAUCUAGAGACUUGUUAUGGUUUCGAGUUUGGAUCAUGUUUAUUAGCAGCUUGCUUUUGCUUGGGAGAAUUUUGAAUUUCGAUUUUAAUUGUGUUUCCAAACGGUCUCCUCUAAUUGUGAUUCACGCUUAAUUCUUCUGGGGAGUGGUUACCCUGUCUUUGUCCUACACACGAUUUUUGGAGAAAAGAAAAAAUUUCCUGACAGUUUAUUUGUUGAUUGAUUCAGUCCUGAAUCUGGUGAAUUAAGGUGACAAUUAUUCUGAUAUAUGAUUGAAAUCUUUAUCACACUACGAAAAAUGUUUCAAAAAAAUGUGAAAAUUGUGGAAAGAGUUGAGGAUUUGAAUAUCUAGAUUCUGAAAGUCGUUAGGGAACCUUUCUUCAUCUUGGUGAAUGUUUAAAUACUUUACAGGUAAGUGGUGUAGUUUUAUUUUUUUUCCUCAUUCUUCAUGAUAUCCUUUGCUUUUGGUAGUGCUCAGUAAUGUAGGUGCAACUAUAUGUUCAGAUUAAACAGACAAGAAUUUGGAAAUUUAUGUAACAUCAAAAUAACUGUUAUGUGAUAGAGCAAUUAAACAAUUAGGUUUCUUGACUGCACAGUUCUAUUUGAAUCUAAAUGUCUUACUGUUUGCUUUUGCCUACUUGAUGCUGUUUACAAUUUGCUUAAUAGAGGGAUCAUGCUAAGCUUGGAUGCUGAUGUAGUGAAGUAGAAUUCAAAGGGUGUUAAAUUUAGUGGAUCUGUAAAAUGAAGAAUGACAGCGUUUAAUGGAACACCUUGCAGUUUUGUAGUUAAUGAUGCUAAAAAAAGAAGAAAAUUUUCACCCUCUCCUCCCAUGACAUGCUUCUGUUUAGCAGAAUUUCUAGAAAAAGAAUGAGAAGGUCAAGUUCAAGUGCUGAGGGGAAAAAAGGAGGAAAAUUACAAAAUGAGAAUCUUUGUCGCAAUGGUGAAAUGACUUGGUUACCUUUUGUACAAUAGAAGUUACUCUUUUUUUUGUUUUUUUUGGGGGGAAGGUGGUUUCCAACUCUUAUAUACCAGUAUGUACCAAUAAAUAUGCA
rnacentral:lncRNA from 1 species